rnacentral:lncRNA from 12 species
GUUGAAUGAGUGGAUUGCAGGAGUUGAAGGAUAGGUAAGAAAUGGAGAUACUGGACACUAGAUGUACGUAGAAAAGUCAGGGCAGUUAAAAAAAGUUCUCUAAGUGCAAAUUGUGAUGGCCUGAACUAGAAAUGAAUGUGACAGAAAUAGGCAAGGCAACAAAUGAAUAAAAUUUGGCAGGCCAUCAUUAUGGGAGAGGAGAGAAAAUGACCUUGCAGACAGCACUCUGAGGUUGUGAGUCAGAAGAUUGAAAGGCAACCAGCCUCCAACACACAGACAUGCAAACUUGUUUGAUUCUGAUGGGUCCUCAUAAGGGGUGGAGAGGAAGAAUGCCUUCCAUUGGAUAACACUGGCUCUAUCCAGGGGCAGAAGAGUGACUUACCUGAAACAAAAAAACACUACAAAGUGAAGAUGGAAUUCUAAGCACAGAGAUGGAAGUUUGAGAAUUACUUUUUGUGAUAAAUGAAAAAUGGAAGCAAACGAGGUAAGUCAUAGCCAAACUAUCCGAGCAUUUAUGCCUUAGGGUAAAGCAAU